UACAGGGGGUGCAAGCGUUGUUCGGAAUUACUGGGCGUAAAGGGCGCGUAGGCGGCACGGCAAGUCAGGAGUGAAAGCCCGGGGCUCAACUCCGGAAUUGCCUUUAAGACUGCAUCGCUAGAAUUGUGGAGAGGUAAGUGGAAUUCCGAGUGUAGAGGUGAAAUUCGUAGAUAUUCGGAAGAACACCAGUGGCGAAGGCGACUUACUGGACACAUAUUGACGCUGAGGUGCGAAAGCGUGGGGAGCAAACAGG
rnacentral:rRNA from 1 species